AUUUAUUUUAAAGAAACAAUAAACUAUUUUUUCUUUUGGUUUUUUGAAAAAGGAAAAACGCGUUUUUUUUAUUUUCUUAUUCUCAAUCAUUUGUUAUUUGUCCAUUUCGAUAGGUUAAUCAACUAUGAAAUUUUACCUAUUUUUUCACAAUCAAUACAUACUACCAAUAAUUGAGACCAGUCAUUAACAUUGGCCCUUUAGAACUCAUCAAAUUGUCACCCAUUUGUGCCACCGAUAAACUUCAGAUCAUAUUGAUUGUAAACUUCACAAACUACCCUCCCCAUUCUGAUGUUUACAUGCAUGCCUUCAAGAUAUCCAAACCAUUUAUUGUUUUGUUCAUACUAACCAGAUUUCAUUAGGUACUUCGCCAGAAGCUGAUCUGAAUAUAUCUAGGUGAAUCAGACAUAAUAAAAAAUAAUUCACAAACUACCCUCCCCAUUCUGAUGUUUACAUGCAUGCCUUCAAGAUAUCCAAACCAU
rnacentral:misc_RNA from 1 species